UACUACUUGGAUAACUGUGGCAAUUCUAGAGCUAAUACAUGCAGCAGAGCUCCGACCUUCGGGGACGAGCGCUUUUAUUAGACCAAAACCAAUCGGACCUCGCGUCCGUUACUGGUGGUGACUCUGUAUAACUUUGGGCUGAUCGCACGGGCAUGUCCCGGCGACGUAUCUUUCAAGUGUCUGCCUUAUCAACUUUCGAUGGUAGGUUACGCGCCUACCAUGGUCGUAACGGGUAACGGGGAAUCAGGGUUCGAUUCCGGAGAGGGAGCCUGAGAAACGGCUACCACAUCCAAGGAAGGCAGCAGGCGCGCAAAUUACCCACUCCCGGAACGGGGAGGUAGUGACGAAAAAUAACAAUACGGGACUCUUUUGAGACCCCGUAAUUGGAAUGAGUACACUCUAAAUCCUUUAACGAGGAUCUAUUGGAGGGCAAGUCUAGUGCCAGCAGCCGCGGUAAUUCUAGCUCCAAUAGCGUAUAUUAAAGUUGUUGCGGUUAAAAAGCUCGUAGUUGGAUCUCAGUUCCAGACGGGUGGUCCGCCUACCGGUGGUUACUGCCUGUUCUGAACAGCCAGCCGGUUUCUCUUGAUGAUCUUUACCGGUUGUCUUGGGUGACCGGCAAGUUUACUUUGAAAAAAUUAGAGUGCUCAAAGCAGGCGUGACGCCUGAAUAAUGGUGCAUGGAAUAAUGGAAUAGGACCUCGGUUCUAUUUUGUUGGUUUUCGGAACACGAGGUAAUGAUUAAGAGGGACAGACGGGGGCAUUCGUAUUGCGACGCUAGAGUGUUUCCAUUAAUCAAGAACGAAAGUUAGAGGUUCGAAGGCGAUCAGAUACCGCCCUAGUUCUAACCAUAAACGAUGCCAGCCAGCGAUCCGGCUGUGUUCCUCAAAUGACACGCCGGGCAGCUUCCGGGAAACCAAAGCUUUUGGGUUCCGGGGGAAGUAUGGUUGCAAAGCUGAAACUUAAAGGAAUUGACGGAGGGGCACCACCAGGAAUGGAGCCUGCGGCUUAAUUUGACUCAACACGGGAAAACUUACUCGGCCCGGACGCAGGAAGGAUUGACAGAUUAAGAGCUCUUUCUUGAUUCUGCGGGGUGUGGUGCAUGGCCGUUCUUAGUUGGUGGAUCGAUUUGUCUGGUUAAUUCCGUUAACGAACGAGACUCUAGCCUACUAAAUAGACGUUCCGAUCAUCUGCGUCGGACGUCCUUCUUAGAGGGACAAGCGGCGUCUAGCCGCACGAGACAGAGCAAUAACAGGUCUGUGAUGCCCUUAGAUGUCCGGGGCCGCACGCGCGCUACAUUGAAGGAAUCAUCGUGUGCUUUCCCUGUCCGACAGGACUGGGUAACCCGUUGAACCUCCUUCGUGCUGGGGAUAGGGGCUUGUAACUGUUCCCCUUGAACGAGGAAUUCCCAGUAAGCACGAGUCAUCAGCUCGUGUUGAUUACGUCCCUGCCCCUUGUACACACCGCCCGUCGCUACUACCGAUUGAAUAAUUUAGUGAGGUCUUCGGACUGGCGCUCGGAGCGGCCCUCCAGGGUCGCGCCGGCGUGUCGGAAAGAUGACCAAACUUGAUUAUUUAGAGGAAGUAAAAGUCGUAACAAGGUUUCC
rnacentral:rRNA from 1 species